UGGGAGGCAAAAAUUACAAUUAUAACACAUUCUUUCUACAAAACUAUCAGGUGUAGUAUUUGUUUCUUAAGAGCAUGAUACAGAUUUUAUAAUAAUAGUGAUUGUUAGAGAAUAUUAUAUCAACCCAGGUGAAAUAAAACCAUCUCACCACACUCGAUACAUCUGUUAAUAAGAAGCAGAUUUUAAUAGCAGAAAUACAACUUUAACUUUAUUGGCUCAUUUUGGUGACUUGGAAGAC
rnacentral:lncRNA from 1 species